rnacentral:rRNA from 1 species
UACGGGGGGUGCAAGCGUUAAUCGGAAUUACUGGGCGUAAAGGGUGCGUAGGUGGUUGAGUAAGAUAUCUGUGAAAUCCCCGGGCUUAACCUGGGCAGGUCAGAUAUAACUGCUUGACUCGAGUAUAGGAGAGGGUAGUGGAAUUUCCGGUGUAGCGGUGAAAUGCGCAGAUAUCGGGAAGAACACCCGUGGCGAAGGCGGCUCUCUGGGACGGUACUGACGCUGAGACGCGAAAGCGUGGGGAGCGAACAGG